rnacentral:rRNA from 1 species
AGAGUUUGAUCAUGGCUCAGAGCGAACGCUGGCGGCAGGCUUAACACAUGCAAGUCGAGCGGGCGCGGCAAUACGUCAGCGGCAGACGGGUGAGUAACGCGUGGGAACGUACCUUUUGGUUCGGAACAACACAGGGAAACUUGUGCUAAUACCGGAUAAGCCCUUACGGGGAAAGAUUUAUCGCCGAAAGAUCGGCCCGCGUCUGAUUAGCUAGUUGGUAGGGUAAUGGCCUACCAAGGCGACGAUCAGUAGCUGGUCUGAGAGGAUGAUCAGCCACAUUGGGACUGAGACACGGCCCAAACUCCUACGGGAGGCAGCAGUGGGGAAUAUUGGACAAUGGGCGCAAGCCUGAUCCAGCCAUGCCGCGUGAGUGAUGAAGGCCCUAGGGUUGUAAAGCUCUUUUGUGCGGGAAGAUAAUGACGGUACCGCAAGAAUAAGCCCCGGCUAACUUCGUGCCAGCAGCCGCGGUAAUACGAAGGGGGCUAGCGUUGCUCGGAAUCACUGGGCGUAAAGGGUGCGUAGGCGGGUUUUUAAGUCAGGGGUGAAAUCCUGGAGCUCAACUCCAGAACUGCCUUUGAUACUGAAGAUCUUGAGUCCGGGAGAGGUGAGUGGAACUGCGAGUGUAGAGGUGAAAUUCGUAGAUAUUCGCAAGAACACCAGUGGCGAAGGCGGCUCACUGGCCCGGUACUGACGCUGAGGCACGAAAGCGUGGGGAGCAAACAGGAUUAGAUACCCUGGUAGUCCACGCCGUAAACGAUGAAUGCCAGCCGUUAGUGGGUUUACUCACUAGUGGCGCAGCUAACGCUUUAAGCAUUCCGCCUGGGGAGUACGGUCGCAAGAUUAAAACUCAAAGGAAUUGACGGGGGCCCACACAAGCGGUGGAGCAUGUGGUUUAAUUCGACGCAACGCGCAGAACCUUACCAGCCCUUGACAUGUCCAGGACCGGUCGCAGAGAUGUGA